rnacentral:rRNA from 1 species
UACGUAGGGUGCGAGCGUUUGUCCGGAAUUAUUGGGCGUAAAGAGCUCGUAGGCGGUUUGUCGCGUCGACUGUGAAAACUGGGGGCUUAACUCUCAGCUUGCAGUUGAUACGGGCAGACUUGAGUUCGGUAGGGGAGACUGGAAUUCCUGGUGUAGCGGUGAAAUGCGCAGAUAUCAGGAGGAACACCGGUGGCGAAGGCGGGUCUCUGGGCCGAUACUGACGCUGAGGAGCGAAAGCGUGGGGAGCGAACAGG